rnacentral:rRNA from 1 species
GAUGAACGCUGGCGGCGUGCCUAAUACAUGCAAGUCGAGCGAACAGAUGAGGAGCUUGCUCCUCUGACGUUAGCGGCGGACGGGUGAGUAACACGUGGAUAACCUACCUAUAAGACUGGGAUAACUUCGGGAAACCGUAGCUAAUACCGGAUAAUAUAUUUAACCGCAUGGUUCAAUAGUUAAAGACGGUUUUGCUGUCACUUAUAGAUGGAUCCGCGCCGCAUUAGCUAGUUGGUAAGGUAACGGCUUACCAAGGCAACGAUGCGUAGCCGACCUGAGAGGGUGAUCGGCCACACUGGAACUGAGACACGGUCCAGACUCCUACGGGAGGCAGCAGUAGGGAAUCUUCCGCAAAGGGCGAAAGCCUGACGGAGCAACGCCGCGUGAGUGAUGAAGGUCUUCGGAUCGUAAAACUCUGUUAUUAGGGAAGAACAAAUGUGUAAGUAACUAUGCACGUCUUGACGGUACCUAAUCAGAAAGCCACGGCUAACUACGUG